CGGGGUGAGCAGGCGCGAAAACUCCACAAUGUACGGAAGUACGAUGGGGUUAUCUCGAGUGCAGUCCGAUAAGGGCUGCUUUUCCAUAGAGUAAUAUCCUGUGGGAAUAAGAGGGGGGCAAGACUGGUGUCAGCCGCCGCGGUAACACCAGCCCCUCGAGUGGUGGGGACUAUUAUUUGGCCUAAAGCGUCCGUAGCUGGCUGUAUCCGUCCCCCGUUAAAUCCAGCGUCCUAAGCGUUGGACUGCGGGUGAUACCAUACAGCUAGAGGGUGGGAUAGGUGAGCGGUAUUUCUGGGGUAGGGGCGAAAUCCUUUGAUCCCAGGAGGACCACCAGUGGCGAAGGCUGCUCACUAGAACACGCCUGACGGUCAGGGACGAAAGCUGGGGCAGCGAACCGGAUUAGAUACCCGGGUAGUCCCAGCUGUAAACGAUGCUAGCUAGGUGUUGGGUCGGCCACGUGCCGCCCCAGUGCCGCAGGGAAGCCGUUAAGCUAGCCGCCUGGGGAGUACGGCCGCAAGGCUGAAACUUAAAGGAAUUGGCGGGGGAGCAC
rnacentral:rRNA from 1 species